UUAUUUAAGUAUACAUUUCCACUAAGAUAGUUUCCGGUGUCUUUUUCGCCACGAAAGCAUUUUAGUUUUUCCGUAUCUACCGACGCUUCGAAGUCGCAUACCUCAAACGUCAGAAAGUGAAGAAAUAUAAAAAUUUUUAUCUAAAACAGAGUUAAGAAAAUUUUUAUUAAAAUGUCAGGCGCUAACGGUUGUGGAAAUGGUGUUUACAUAUGGGUCCAAGGAAGCAUUCGAGGGGGUGCGUGUUUUGUAUACGGAGCAAACGGAGCCACAAGAGAUUAUCUAAGACGGCAUUUUCGAGCGAAAAAUGAUACGGUUGAUGGAAUGCACGUCGAAGCGCCUGCAACUGCUGUUAUCAAUGCACUACGAGUUUUCAAUUACCAAAUACACAACUCAUUAUCAUUAGAAGCUUUAAAUAUUUUAUGGACUCUAGAACCAAGUUCAUAAUUGUACAAAAUUAGUGUUUAAAUUUACACUUAGCAUAAUUGUGUAAAAUAUUAGACGAAUUUUCUAAACUAAAAUUUAUAUAGUAAAAAUUUAACUCAUUCAUAAGACAUUAUAUUGCUGGCUGGGUAUUUGAUAAGUAAUUAUAAAAUUAAUAUGCGAGUUUGCAAUUACUAAAUAUACAACACAUUAUUAUUGGAAGCUUUUUGAAUAUUUAAAAAAAUUUUUCUUAUU